AUACGGAGGGUGCAAGCGUUACUCGGAAUCACUGGGCGUAAAGCGCGCGCAGGCGGCUAUUUAAGUUGGAUGUGAAAGCCUACGGCUCAACCGUAGAACUGCAUCCAAAACUAUUUAGCUAGAGUGUGGGAGAGGAAGAUGGAAUUAGUUGUGUAGGGGUAAAAUCCGUAGAGAUAACUAGGAAUACCGAAAGCGAAGGCAAUCUUCUGGAACACUACUGACGCUGAGGCGCGAAAGCGUGGGGAGCAAACGGGAUUAGAAACCCCUGUAGUCC
rnacentral:rRNA from 1 species